CUGCCUAUCACCGUCGCCACCCGUGCGCCGCCACCCCACGCGCCGCCGCCGCCGCCGCCUCCCGAUUCCCCACCGGCGCCCCCCCUUCCCCAUCACUAGCCGGCCAAGGUAAGGACCAAAAUGGGUCCCCCCACACUCUCCUCUCCCUCCCCCCGCCGCUUGGCCUUGCCGCCGGCGAGCUAGGCCGGCCGGCCCACCGCCGGCCAACCCCUUCUCCACUUCCUGUACCCGGUCAAAGGAAGAAGAAGAGGAAACUCCCUUCAAUUUCGAUCUGCCCCUCUACUUUCUCUUAUUUGCAAACCAACCCUUCCACCUCUCUCCAGGAAUUCUCACAGAUGAGCCCUUCCACUUUUCAGAAUAAUUACAAAUAGGUCCCUGGUUCUCGCGGUUUAGUCCUAAAACCUUGUUUAAGCCCCUAACACUCCUUUAACUUCAAGCGCCAAACUUCCUCCAUUAGAUCCCAAAUUCGAUCACGGCCUCCUCCCAUAUAUUUCUGCCGAGGCAUAUCCAAAUUUCAUGAAAAUACCCCUCCUACCUAUUUUCCGUUCACAUUCUUUGUUCGGAGCUCAACGGGUAAAAUCUUAUUUCCUUUUUAUUUAUUGUGUGCUCGUUUGUGUUUGCCGUAGAUCGCGGAGUACCCAAGGAGGAGCACGAGGAGGAGUUCGGCCACGAGCCCGAGCCCGAGGACCAGUACCGCGAGUAGGAGCUCCCGGAGGGCUUUGAGAACGGCAAGUCCAAACUCACCCUUUGAUGCAUAUUUAAUACCUAGUUUUUCAAACACAACCUAUUGGCCUAUUUUAUAAAAUGCAUAUUGUUUUAUUGCAAGACAUGGUUGGAUAGCCACCCCUUGAUUGUUAUGAUUAUUCCUUGUUGUCCCUUAUUUAUCUCUAAAUAUGAGUUGCUCUAUUUAGAUGGUAAAUACUGCUAGAAUGCUUAGGAACUCAUUACUCAAAUUCUAUCACAACUACACUUGUUUAAUUAGAGGAUAACUGUGUGCGUGUUUUCAAAUGAGAAAAUGGGUUUUUGGUUGUAAAGAGAGGUGGUGCAUAGACGAGAUGGAUGGGUGUUUCUUGUGUGAAACGCCAAAUGUUGGGCUCGUACCUUAGUGGUUGAGCAAGGUUGGGAGAUAUCCAUCUUGUCAUGUUUAAGGACCGAGUUGAUGUGUCGUCUUGCCUAAUUCAACCAUCGUGCAACCACUCAACCGUUGUAUGGGCAACGGCUUAGCAUAAAGUCCACUAGCUAAACUGCUAGGCUUCAGGUGUGUGCUGAGGAGCAACGGGAGCGCAUGGAAAAGGAGUAAGCUCUUGGUGACUUAGGUCCCGGUUCUGGCCUCGUGGAUGGGUCGGUAACCCCUUGGGUGCUUCCCUGUUGACUAGUCAGUUUUGGCUACGGUGGGUAAUGGCUUUGUUAGGAUCCGCACUGGCACCAAGGUGAUCGUGCUGCGGUACCCUACUUGUGGGAAAAGUGUACAACCAUUGCAGAGUUAAAACCUAUCCGGGUAGCCGUGUCCACGGCAUUGGACGAGUUACGGCUUGGUCACAUAACUAGCAUUUGGAGAUGAUUGGUUUUUAUGGCGUGUGUUGGAUUUUGGAAGUGUCCGGCAGUUAUGCUGUGCGCUACGGCGGACGGGGAGUCUGGUAGCGAUAAAACUUGGAUCCUUUGCGUAGGAUCAACCCCACAUAAUGUUUCGAUUACUAAAUAAAAUGCUUUAUGAAAACUCCUUGAAAAUGAACCCAUGCAUGUGUUGAAAAUCUAGCUUUAUUGCAAAGGAACUUUAACCUAUUCUUUGUUAUAUCCUGUGCAUAUUCUUGUUGUAUUCCCCUCCGUGGAUGGGGUUGAACUUGUUGAGUACUUUUGUACUCACCCCUGUUUUGUUGCUUCAGAGGAGGAUCCGGACUACGUCGCCGAGGAUCUCGAGUAGGAGGUUGCGUCUGCACCCAACGCUGCCUGCGGUGUUGGCCCUUUUGUAGGAUGCUUCCGCUGACGCAUAGUUCCGAUUGCAGCCCGGAGUCCGACUGGACUGCAACUUGGAUUUGUAUUGUUAUCGCUUUAGUUUUACUUUGGGUGUGGCUUGCCCACCCGCUCCUUUGGGAGCUGUACAGUUUCUGAACUACCUGUUGAAUAAAUGUGUUAUCAGCCUCCUGGGACUGAUAAUUGGAUCACAUUUAGUCUCUACUUAUGUGGGGAUGCUUCAGGUGGUAUCAGAGCCGUCGUUGGCUGUAGGAUGUAACCACUAGGAACGGAAAAGCCUUUUUGACCAAAAUAAAUGAUUUACAAAAUUUCUUGCUUCCUCCAACUUUGCAAGCCUUUAUCUCACAAUUUCUUAUCUAAACUCAAGUCAGGCUCUUAAUAAAAAUUGUAGUCCCUCGAGUGUGUUCCAACUUUGUUACUCUAACCCAGGUCCAAAUCGGGCCAGAACCUUUUCAAAAUCUUGGUCAAAGUGAGGUAAAACAGUCAACUCACCCCCUGAGCCCCACAACGCCAAUUCUGAAAAACUGCGCAGAGUGCACCUCUUGGCGAGGGCGUUCCUCCAAAUUUUUGAACUAAACUCAAGAAAUGACCUAAAUAGAAGUUGAAGUCCUCAGUUUGGAGAGCAACUCCUUCAAUAACAUUUUGGUCUAAUUCAACUUGGAAGCUGCCCUAAAAUCGACUCAAACAUAGCUAAGUUCCUGAAAUUCCACCUUUCCGCCCAAAAUUGGCAAAGUCUGGAUUUCCAUAUUUUUAGCAAACUUUGGCAUGAGAUAUCUCCAAAUCCCUUCACAAUCUAACACAGUGCCUUAAAUCAAGUUUGAACUACAUCCAGAGUUGAACAAGUUUGUUUAAAAGAGUUUUGAAAGUUGUGUUGCAAAAUCUUGAGUUAGGAUCUCCCAAAGCCGGUCGGGCUUGCUGCCCGAAGGGGGCCUCAACGCCCGCGCGCCAGAGCACGUUCGCCCGCGCGCCGCGUGGCCGCCGGCCACCGGCAGCUCGCCGACGCCCUAUCACCGGUGAGACAACGAUAAGGCGAGGGCCACGGCACCCAACCCACGCCUGCGACAGGACGGGGCGAACGCCGGGCUAGCCAACCGCCGGCCGCGCGCGUGUCCUUUUCCCCCUGCCGCGGCUCUGCUCCGCCAACCGUGCUCCGCCCGUCCGUCGGAGAAGCCACCACGCCGAUGACGUCCCGCGCCUCCGCCCGCUCGCCCAACCCCCACGGUAGCCCUCCGCUUCGCCCACCCGACAUACUGGAAGCCUCAGACACGCAUCGCCCAAGGCCAAUCCCCGCCGGAGACCACCCGGAGCUCCGCCUCCUCUGCCCAAUGGCGCUGCUGGCCAAUGGCCACCUCGCGCCGCGCACCCACUGCACCCGGCCUUAUCCUUCCUCCACCGAAGCCCCGCCUCGACCCUCCGCUCCACCGCUGCCCACAAUCUAGUGAUGGCUUAAGUGAGAUGCUGUAAUUUUAUCAAUGCCUUUAACUACUAUUUGGAUAUGAAGUCAUUUUGGUUAAUUAAUCAACCUAAAGGAAUAAAAGGAAAGCACAAAUUCUAAUACAAUAAAUAAGUGGACACUGAAAGGGGUACAUAAAAACAUUCAGAAGUAAGUAAUUAUUCUAAUGCACCCAAACCACCCAACACGACCUUUCACACUCUUUAUGCAACUCUAAAUGCAAGAAAACUUUAUAUGUACACAAUCGCCAUUCAACGCGAACUCAAGUUUAAAAUGACCACUUUCAUUUGAAGUUAAAAGAAAGUAAACCUCGCCAAAGUGUUUGUGGCUGUUGUGACUCUUGUCUUAAGCCAUGCCUUGUGUCGUUGAAUAAACGCGCGAGUCCAACUAAAUCUUUGCAUGUGCAUGUCGUAUAGAAGCAAAUCUCACUGACGGAACCUACGAGCUCCACCCGGCACCGGAGGAAGAACCCGCUGCGGAGCUUCACCACUUGGACGGCGAGCCCGAACCGGAGCAAGAUCCCGAGGACCCGCUAACUUUUCCUGAAGGCAAGCCCCGGAGCAUAAAUUCCUAUCUUUAAAUACUUGCAAUAUUAUUGAACACUUUGAUUGCGCAUUUACGUUUCUAGGAGUUGUAAUGAAACCUUAGCUGCAUGAACAUAGUACCUUGUUUGAAUACUAGUUCCUCAAGUCGAGUAGUUGCAAUGCUUAAUAGGUUCCGGUAAAAGUCGAGUGAUUUCCUGUCACUCGCGAGUCAUAGGAGUUGAAUGUUUACUUAUGUUGCAACUAUAAGGAUGACGGAUAGGGUCGGGCUUAUGUUCGAUACUUGGUGGUUUUCCCCGUCUGUCUAAAGGAAAUUGCUGUAAGGUCGAAACGUGUCGGCGUUCGUGAUCAAGUGUUUGAAAGUACUAAUCUCAUACCUAGUAUGGGAUGGGGAAGCCUAGUACCUGAUUGAACUGGAGCGUGGCAUACUCCCCCGGUUGUUGGCCCUGACACGUGCCUAAGGGAUCGAUGGGGGCGGCUGACAAAUGAAGCGACCCUUCGUGGUGCGCGGAUGUUGUGAGAUUAGGUUCGCCAUGCAUGGUUAAUAAAUUCAAAUCGAUUCGUCUGCCUCUCACAGUUUGGGACUACUUGAUCGCUAUUCUGCACUGAGUAACGAUGAAACAUGAUUAUGAGUUUAAGUUGAUGCUUGUUAUCUAACUGCUUGGAACUCAUGCUUGUUUAGUAUAAGUUGCUAAUCUAGACUGGUUAAAGAACGUAGAACUUGAGCUAAAAUAUUGAAAGUAAGGACCGAUUGUAGACGCUUGUGGCAAAGAAAUCCCAGAGCCAGAAAGCCUUGCAUGUCUAGGUCUUGGUAAAGCUUUUCACUCGACGGGUCAGUCUUGCUGAGUAUUAGUUGCUCAGCCUUGUUGUGGCUUAGACUUUUUAGGUGAUGUCAAUAGUUUGGUUGCUGGUACCACUUGGCCUACCCAGCUCCCUCCGAGCUGGACAGUCGAGUGGGAUCCAUCCUCGGGCAGUGAGCGAAGGGAUUUUUGAUGUCAUAAUCGGCUCCGUCGUGAUGUCAUGUAUCGACGUUUAGCUUCCGCUUGUUUUAUCCAACUUUUCGAACCUUGCAACUUGUUUGAAUUUUCAGAAACUCUGAUGUAAUAAUUUGUGAGACUAAGUAAUUUGAUGGAAUGUUGUAAUCUCUGUGCUACUCACCUUCGUGUGAGCGAUGAUUCUUGAUCAUGUUUAGGUGGUUCAUCGGAUGAAAUCCGACGGUCGACCAGGUUGACUUGCUUAAAGUUCAUAAUCGUGUGUAAGGCGACUUCAAUGCAUUUUAGUCAGGUUAAUUUGGGCGGUUCCGCCACAAGGAGACUCCAGGUGAGAUUGGCAGCAGCUGAGGCACGAGCCGCGGCCGCCCAAAGCAAUGAGGUCGUCGCCAUUGAGGCCCUCAAGGAGGCUGAGGAUCGGCACACUCGGGCAUUGAAGGAGGUCCACCACUCGAACCGUGGGAGAAGGAAGAUGCGGGUCGUGGAGGACGACGAGGCCCCAGUCUUGGAUGGAGUCCCUAUUGCCCAGGGGUCCGGAAAGCGGAAGAGCCCUGAUGCACCACCAGCACCACCGUCUUCGGAAAGGGACUCUGAGGUGGCCAACGAAGAAGCAUCGUAGCCCCCUCCCGCAGGUGGGACCCUAAAGGACGAGGUGUUGGCCCUCCUUAUUCCUCUAGAAGACCACUCCGUGCAGGGUGAAGAUUCAUCCCGCGAGUAGAGUGCCCCACCUAGAGUUGUACCCCAGAAGCUGUCCCGAGUCUAGACUUGUACCCUAGUUGUGUUGUUGUACCGGCUGUGUAGUACGUGUUUUGGCCUCACCCCAAGUGUUGUACCCGCCCCGGCAAAAUAAUAAAAUCAUUUGUCCUUGUUGUUUGUUAGUCUGUGUGCUUGUCGACAGGAGGUGGAUUCUGUCUCUUCGAAAAUCCGAACUAAUUAACUAAACAUCACUUUAAUAUCCAAAUCCAAGUCCCAUGAAAGUUUACUCAAUCUGCAGAUGCCUCCUAAGCGUGCUACCAGGACCUCCCCGAGUCAAGCACGUGCCACCCCUAGUAAAGAAAGACAGCUGGAACGGCAGGAACCACCACCAGCGGUGCACCAUGAGGAGCAAGAAGUGAACCAGCCCGAGGGCAGGGGAGAAAAUCAAGUGGGAGCACAGUAGCCACCGCCCCCACCAGUCAUUGAUUUGGUACAAGUAAUGAACAACCAAACCCUUCUGCUAGAAGCCUUGGCCAAUGCCAUCACCCGCCAAAGGCCCCGCGGACAGGGCAUGAAUGAGAAGCUGGCAGACUUUCUUCGGACCAAGCCACCCACUUUUGGCGGGUCCAUCAACCCUCUGGACGCAGAUGGCUGGCUGCGGGUCAUCCAGAGGAAGCUAGAGCCAUUUGGCUGUGAGAGCAGGGACAAGGUUCUCCUGGCUGCUCAUCAACUCACUGGGACUGCUUUAGCUUGGUGGGAGAACUACUGCACUGCCACCCAGGAUGCCUCCACUAUCACCUGGGAUGAGUUCAUGACUGAAUUCCGCCGCUAUCACAUCCCUGCGGCCACCAUGAAGCGCAAGGCGGAUGAGUUCCGUGAACUGCGCCAAGGCAACAAGUCCAUGGAAGAAUACACCUAUCAAUUCAUGGAGUUGGCCCGCUAUGCUCCAGAAGAAGUAGACAAGGAUGAGAAGAAGCAAGAUAUGUUCAAGAAGGGUUUGAGCGCAGAGCUGAGGACCCUGCUUACUCCUCAGAUCUACCCUGAUUUCAACACUCUGAUGAACAUGGCCAUCCUGACUGAGAGGGCCAAAGCAGAUGAAAGGAGGGACAACAAGUGCCGGUUCCUAGACAGCAAGGCCCACCAGCAGGACAAGUUCCAGAAACCAAGGAGCUUUGGUCACCCCAUGCCCAGGUCCCAAGCUCCCAUGCAGUACCGGACCCAAUCUCAAGCUCUGGUUCCCAUCAGCCCAAUGCCCCAUUCAGAAGCCAGAACCCGGUCAAGACCCCACAGAACAGCGCCAGUCAAGUCACCAACAACAGCAGGGCAUGCUUUAACUGCCAUGAGCUAGGGCAUUUCAUCGCCAACUGCUCCUACGCCAACAAGCCAGCUGCAUCAGCCUUCUCCAACGCAGUAACUGGGCCAAGGGCAGCAGUGUCAGGAGCCAACCGUGUUCCCGUCCGUAGCAACAACAACCUCGGCAACAACAGCAACAGCCAACAGAUGAGGCAGCCCCAGCAGUCGUUCGGACGAGCCCGCGUCAACCACAUCAGCGUGCAAGAGGCUCAAGAAGCUCAGGGCGUGGUACUCGAUGAGUUUCUAGUCAGCUCAGUCUUGGCAACAAUACUCUUCGAUUCUGGAGCAUCACAUUCAUUUAUAUCAUCAAGCUUUGUGGAUAAGCACCACAUACCUACAGUACUACUAAAGGUACCCCUAAUAACCCGGACGCUUGGAGCCGACAUCUAGUGUCGACUAGGUUGUUCCCGGGUAAGGAUCAAUUUAAGUGGGGUAGAAUUCCUAGAGGACUUAGUAGUACUUGAGUCUAAGGGGAUAGAUGUGAUCCUUGGAAUGGAUUGGUUAAGCCUACAUGAUGGUCACAUAGGAUGUGCUAAUAAGGUAGUACGCCUGGUUAAUCAGGACGGUGUACAAGUGACCUGUCACACUCGGGGAAGUGGACCCGACUCAAUGGUUUUUAGCAUGGAGACCAAGGCCAUAGAAGGAGUUCCGGUAGUGAGUGAAUACCCUGAUGUCUUUCCUGAACAACUACCUGGAAUGCCCCCAGAUAGGGAUAUAGAGUUUGUAAUCGACCUUAUCCCUGGAACCUCCCCUAUAGCCAAGAGACCCUAUAGAAUGGCAGCGUCUGAGUUGGCAGAGCUGAAGAAACAGUUAGGUGAACUGCAAUAGAGUGGCUUUAUCAGACCUAGCUCGUCCCCGUGGGGAGCCCCAGUGCUCUUUAUCAAGAAAAAAGACAGGAGCAUGAGGAUGUGCGUGGAUUAUCGCGCACUGAAUGAAGUCACCAUCAAGAAUAAAUACCCCCUUCCCAGAAUAGAUGACCUAUUUGACUAGUUGAAAGGAGCCAAGUAUUUCUCCAAAAUAGAUUUGAGGUCAGGAUACCAUCAACUCAAGAUCAAGGAAAGUGACAUCCCGAAGACAGCUUUUGUCACCCGCUAUGGCCAGUUUGAAUUCACAGUGAUGUCCUUUGGACUGACCAAUGCCCCUGCUUACUGCAUGAACCUCAUGAACAAGGUGUUUAUGGAGGAGUUAGAUAAGUUUGUCGUAGUUUUUAUCGACGACAUACUUAUUUACUCCAAGAGUGUCCAGCAGCAUGAACAGCAUCUACGAGUGGUGUUGGAGAAAUUGAGAGCCCACCGACUCUAUGCUAAAUUCAGCAAAUGUGAAUUUUGGCUCGAGAAAGUGGCAUUUCUUGGUCAUAUUUUGACUGCACAGAGAGUAGCAGUUGAUCCUCAGAAAGUUGAAGCCGUCUCCAACUGGCAGCAACCCACCAAUGUUAGUAAAAUCAAGAGUUUUCUUGGUCUAGCUGGGUACUAUCGGAGGUUUAUUGAAGGAUUCUCUAAGAUAGCCCGGCCCAUGACAGAGCUACUUAGGAAGGACAAGAAAUUUAUUUGGACAGAGUCAUGUGAGAGAAGUUUUCAAGAGCUAAAAAGAAGAUUGACGACCGCCCCAGUAUUAACCCUAUCGGAUAUCCAGCGAGACUUCGUCAUUUAUUGUGAUGCUUCCCGACAAGGGUUAGGGUGUGUCCUUAUGUAGGAUGGGAAAGUAGUGGCAUAUGCUUCCCGCCAGCUUAAGCCCCAUGAACAGAAUUACCCCACCCAUGAUUUGGAAUUUGCAGCAGUAGUGCAUGCUCUCAAGAUCUGGAGGCAUCUAAUUAGGAACAAGUGUGAGAUUUACACAUACCACAAGAGCCUGAAAUAUAUCUUCACUCAACCAGAUCUGAAUUUAAGGCAAAGAAGGUGGUUAGAGUUGGUCAAGGAUUAUAAUCUGAAAAUUCACUACCACCCCGGUAAGGCUAACGUGGUAGCGGAUGCCUUAAGCAGAAAAUCCUAUGGACAGAUCGGACCUAAGGACACCCACUUGCAAGAGGAAAUGGCCCGGUUAAAUGUACACAUUGUUCCCCAGAAUAUCAGCCGCAAGCUAAGUGUUCAGCCCACUUUGGAGGAUCGAAUCCAAAAGGCCCAAGGUUCAGAUCAGAAUUUGGUAAGGAUUUGCAAGCAAACCGGAGAGAAUAAAGCCAGACUUCAGAGUGGAUGACAAAGGAACCUUGUGGUACAAGGAUAGGAUUUGUGUGCCCAAGGAAGGUGAUUUUCGGCAAACCAUCAUGGAUGAGGCCCAUAACUCAGCAUACUCCAUCCACCCGAGAUCCACCAAGAUAUAUAUGGACCUAAAACAGAAGUACUGGUGGAAUAGGAUGAAAGCGGACAUAGUCCAGUUCAUCGCUCAUUGCGAUAUUUGCCAAAGGGAUAAGGCCGAACAUCAGAAGCUAGCCAGCCUACUACAACCACUACCCAUCCCAGUUUGGAAAUGGGACGAAAUUGGCAUGGAUUUUAUAGUGGGUUUACCCAAGACUCAAAAAGGGAAUGACUCCAUAUGGGUAAUAGUGGAUCGACUCACUAAAGUUACUCACUACCUACCUGUACGGACCACUUAUGGUGGAGAAAGGCUAGCUUGGCUCUAUGUGGACAACAUAGUGAAGCUGCACGGUGUGCCUAGCAGAAUUGUUUCGGAUAGAGGGACCCAAUUUACCUCUAGAUUCUGGAAAAGUCUGCAUAAAGUCAUGGGCAACAAACUGGAUUUUAGAUCAGCCUAUCACCCCCAGACCGAUGGCCAAACAGAAAGAGUGAAUUAGAUUAUGGAGGACAUGUUGAGGGCAUGUGUCCUUACUUAUGGCAAAGACUGGGAACAGAGUCUACCCUAUGCAGAGUUCUCAUACAACAACAGUUACCAAGCCAGCUUAGGCAUGUCACCAUUUGAGGCUCUUUACGGAAGGAAGUGCAGGACCCCGUUCAUGUGGUCGGAAGUAGGUGAGCGCACCCUAGUGGGACCCGCCUUUAUCGAAGAAGCAGAAGAACGAGUGGCUGAAAUACGAGAGAAGCUAAAGGCAGCACAGUCUAGACAGAAGGGUUACUCAGAUAAAAGAAGACGAGAAUUGAUUUUCAAUGAAGGGGACUUCGUCUACCUUAGGGUCUCCCCGAUUCGAGGUACCCGAAGGUUCCAAGUGCAAGGAAAAUUAGCCCCUCGGUUUAUUGGACCAUACCAGGUGUUAAAAAGAGUUGGAGCUGUAGCAUACCGUAUUCAGCUGCCCGAAGAGAUGUCGGAUAUACAACCGGUGUUCCAUGUGUCCCAGCUAAGAAAAUGCCUGAGAGUACUAGAAGAGCAAGUACCGGUGGAAACCAUAAUUUGCAAAGGGAUCUGCGGUAUCAGGAGGUGCCUGUCAAGAUUCUGGACACCGUCACCAGGAGGACAAGGAAUUUAGCAGUAUGGAUUUGCAGAGUCCAAUGGAGUAGGCAUGGUGAAGAAGAAGCUACUUGGGAACACGAGGAUGUGUUAAAGAAGGAGUUUCCCCAUCUUUUCAGAAUUCAGCCGAAUCUCGAGGACGAGAUUCAAUUUAAGUGGGGUAGGUUUGUAACGCCCGUAAAAAUUACCAAUUUAAAUCACUCGUUAAAAAUGCAUUCCAAAAUUUUCGACCGUUGAGCUCCCAAAAAAUCCUUUCCUUCCCGUCGGACCCGCCGUUCCGGCCCCAACGUCGUCAACCCUCUUUUUCCAUUCCCCGUAUUUUUCACCACGUGCCCGUCAAAUCCAUCACGCGUGCCGGUCAAAUCCAGCAAUUUCCGCUGUCUCCUUCCUUUUCUUUUUCCUCCUUCUCUUUCCCCUCCUUUUUCCUCCUUUUUCUUUCUUCUUUUUCCCUUCUCCUUCUUCCUUCUCUUUCUUCCUCCUUCCUCUCUCACCUCUCUUUUUCCCCCGCCUCCUUUUCUUCUCUCUAGCGCCCGGCUCGUCCCUCCUGGCGUCGCCCGCACGCCCCCUGCCCCUGCGCGCUCCGAGGCACGCAGCUCCCGCACGCGCGCUGGGCCCGCACCGCGCCGCGCCGCCUACCGCCGCACACUCGGUCUUGGCGCCUAGCGCCUGUCCGCACGCCCGCGUCGCCAACCGCCGGUCACCGGUCGCCGCCAUCCUACCACACGUCACGCUGGCCAUCACCUCGGUGGACUCCCUGUGCCCCUCGUCGAUAGAGCCUCACGCCUUCCACGAGCUCCUCCACUCCAGCACGCCAUCGGCCGAAGUUCCGGCCACCAUCAUCACCACGGCCGCACGCCGCUCCUCCCGCCGCCUAUAAAAGGGGGGCUGAGCCCCUGCACCUCCACACCACCACCAGCGCCCCCCUGCCUACCACCGCCGCCGCCCGUCCGCCGCCACCCCACGCGCCACCACCGAGCCGCCGCCGCUGCCUCCCGAUUCCCCACCGGCGCCCCUCCCCUCUCUUCCCCAUCACUAGCCGGCCAAGGUGAGGACCAAAAUGGGUCCCCCACACUCUCCUCUCCCUCCCCCGCCACUCGGCCUUGCCGCCGACGAGCUAGGCUGGCCGGCGCACCGCCGGCCAACCCCUCCUCCACUUCCUGUACCCGAUCAAAGGAAGAAGAAGAGGAAACUCCCUUCAAUUUCAAUCUGCCCCUCUACUUUCUCUUAUUUGCAAACCGACCCUUCCACCUCUCUCCAGGAAUUCUCACAGAUGAGCCUUUCCACUUUUCAGAAUAAUUACAAAUAGGUCCCUAGUUCUCGCAGUUUAGUCCUAAAACCUUGUUCAAGCCCCUAACACUCCUUUAACUCGUCAUUUCAAGCGCCAAACUUCCUCCAAUAGAUCCCAAAUUCGACCACGGCCUCCUCCCAUAUAUUUUCGCCGAGGGCAUCCAAAUUUCAUGAAAAUACCCCUCCUACCUAUUUUCCG
rnacentral:lncRNA from 1 species